rnacentral:rRNA from 1 species
GAUGAACGCUGGCGGCGUGCUUAACACAUGCAAGUCGAACGGUGAAGCAGAGCUUGCUCUGUGGAUCAGUGGCGAACGGGUGAGUAACACGUGAGCAACCUGCCCCUGACUCUGGGAUAAGCGCUGGAAACGGCGUCUAAUACUGGAUAUGAGCUGCGACCGCAUGGUCAGCAGUUGGAAAGAUUUUUCGGUCUGGGAUGGGCUCACGGCCUAUCAGCUUGUUGGUGAGGUAAUGGCUCACCAAGGCGUCGACGGGUAGCCGGCCUGAGAGGGUGACCGGCCACACUGGGACUGAGACACGGCCCAGACUCCUACGGGAGGCAGCAGUGGGGAAUAUUGCACAAUGGGCGAAAGCCUGAUGCAGCAACGCCGCGUGAGGGAUGACGGCCUUCGGGUUGUAAACCUCUUUUAGCAGGGAAGAAGCGAAAGUGACGGUACCUGCAGAAAAAGCGCCGGCUAACUACGUGCCAGCAGCCGCGGUAAUACGUAGGGCGCAAGCGUUAUCCGGAAUUAUUGGGCGUAAAGAGCUCGUAGGCGGUUUGUCGCGUCUGCUGUGAAAUCCCGAGGCUCAACCUCGGGUCUGCAGUGGGUACUGGCAGACUAGAGUGCGGUAGGGGAGAUUGGAAUUCCUGGUGUAGCGGUGGAAUGCGCAGAUAUCAGGAGGAACACCGAUGGCGAAGGCAGAUCUCUGGGCCGUUACUGACGCUGAGGAGCGAAAGGGUGGGGAGCAAACAGGCUUAGAUACCCUGGUAGUCCACCCCGUAAACGUUGGGAACUAGUUGUGGGGUCCAUUCCACGGAUUCCGUGACGCAGCUAACGCAUUAAGUUCCCCGCCUGGGGAGUACGGCCGCAAGGCUAAAACUCAAAGGAAUUGACGGGGACCCGCACAAGCGGCGGAGCAUGCGGAUUAAUUCGAUGCAACGCGAAGAACCUUACCAAGGCUUGACAUAUACGAGAACGGGCCAGAAAUGGUCAACUCUUUGGACACUCGUAAACAGGUGGUGCAUGGUUGUCGUCAGCUCGUGUCGUGAGAUGUUGGGUUAAGUCCCGCAACGAGCGCAACCCUCGUUCUAUGUUGCCAGCACGUAAUGGUGGGAACUCAUGGGAUACUGCCGGGGUCAACUCGGAGGAAGGUGGGGAUGACGUCAAAUCAUCAUGCCCCUUAUGUCUUGGGCUUCACGCAUGCUACAAUGGCCGGUACAAAGGGCUGCAAUACCGUGAGGUGGAGCGAAUCCCAAAAAGCCGGUCCCAGUUCGGAUUGAGGUCUGCAACUCGACCUCAUGAAGUCGGAGUCGCUAGUAAUCGCAGAUCAGCAACGCUGCGGUGAAUACGUUCCCGGGUCU